GUCUGUCUGUGUGUGUGUGUAUUUAGCAGUCUGUCUGUAUUUAGCAGACUGCUGAAUACACACACAGACUGACUGCUAAAUACACACACAGACUG